rnacentral:lncRNA from 1 species
GUUCCCAUAAUUCUGUCCAACCCCUUUAAAGUGUCACAAUGACUCGCACCCAUUAACAACCCAUCAUUCGACAAAUUAUAUUAAACAACCUGAUUUGUCUCCUAUAUGCAAAAAUUACGAGUCAGGUUUUUUUGCUCUAAUAUAAAUGGCCAUUUUUUUUCACACAUCUCGUUUUUGAACUCCCAUGCGUAUUUGUUACUAUCAACUAUAUGGCAUCAAUGCACACAAUUCAAACUAUCUUUUCA